rnacentral:rRNA from 1 species
UACGAAGGGGGGCUAGCGUUGUUCGGAUUUACUGGGCGUAAAGCGCACGUAGGCGGAUCGUUAAGUCGGGGGGUGAAAUCCUGGAGCUCAACUCCAGAACUGCCUUCGAUACUGGCGAUCUUGAGUCCGGAAGAGGUGAGUGGAAUUCCUAGUGUAGAGGUGGAAUUCGUAGAUAUUAGGAAGAACACCAGUGGCGAAGGCGGCUCACUGGUCCGGUACUGACGCUGAGGUGCGAAAGCGUGGGGGAGCAAACAGG